CCGAAAUGUUUAUGUAACGGAUAAUGUAUUUCUUCCUUUUAAAUACUCGUGAAGAUAUGUCCUUGUUGGUAAACAAAAGUAUAUGAUAUUUUAGAAAUACCCGGAAUUGAAACCGAAAGCGUCCUAUUUGUCAAUGUGUUUAUUUGAAAUUGGCUGCACACGGUUUAUACGUAAUUAAACAUUAAAACCGGUUUACAGUUGUUUAAUUUCAAAUCAAAGGAUUAUUCUAGACGGAAUAUAAGACUUGUGGAUGAUGGAUGUGGAUUUAUAUAGUGUAAGCAGUGGAAAGCUUGAAGUGUUUAUCGCUGAGACCAUACAGCCAGAUGCUGCCUAUUUAGCUAGCAGUGGUGAAGCCAUUGAUCAACUUGUACAUUUUCUUCAGAAAAAUGUGCCUGACCAUAUCAGACCUGCACGUGUUGUAAAGGGUGGCUCUCUUGGAAAAGGUACAGCGGUAAAGGGCAAGUCCGAUAUUGAUUUAACACUGAUAUUAGCCAGGUAUAGUGUUGUUGAAGCAAUGAUCGAUGAUAUGCCGUCUAUCUUACGCCAACUGGAACAGCACCUAGGCAAAUACGAGGAUGUCAAAGUUGUUGGAAAGACCGGUCAUGCGGUUCAAGUAGAGCUUUCUUGUCAUUCAGGUCAUACACACGCUGUAGACAUCCUUCCAGCAGUUGACAUUCUUCCUAACUUGUCAGAAGGCAAUGUAAAAGCUGAAGACAAGUAAUUUACCGCACUCUAGACUUGGAGACGCACUACUACAAUUUGUACAAUGUGGUCUUUUCGGAUGGUCAUUAGUUUGCCCUUGACAGCUUGCUAGAAAAUCUCCUCACAUAAUUGAUCCAUGUAACCCAUACAACGAUGUGUAUCAUGGAUAUUUCGGCAAUGCAUGGGACUGGGAUGGUGUUGCAACAGAGGCCAGUAAAUAGUUGAGUACACAACUCUUCUCUGGCGUUAGCAAUACAAAGCGGCAGUGGUAGAGGACUUGCAAAUGUACCCCCAAACAACUGUGAUCGUUUUGUUGUACAUUGCUCUUUGAUUUGUAUAUAGACUUCGAGUAUUUUGUGUGCAAAAAAGUUUCGUUUUUGAUUGACUCUUUGUUUUCGUUGACAAAGCUGUAGUGGUAAAAUGGUUACAAUGUUGUUGGUUCUAGAUUUACAUCUUAUCAUCCGUUUAUUAUAUACUUAACUGAAUGUACUACAUUUGUUAAAUUUGUGCACAUUUAUUUUGUUUGAUCUGUGGUGAGAUUUUUUACGCCCGAAGGGAAGUAUUAUGUUUUGACGCAUGUGUCUGUCUGUUCGUCCGUCCGUCAAUCUGUUAGCAGUUUCGUGUCCGCUCUUAACCCCUUAAAGAAUUUUCAAGAAACUUGACACAAAUGUUCACCACAUCGUGAUGACCUGCAGAGCGCAUGUUUCGGAUGGCUCGUUUCAAGGUCAAGGUCACAAUUAUGGGUCGAAUGUCAUAUGACUUUGUUUCAUGUCCGCUUUGUAACUGCUUGAAGGAUUUUAAAGAAACUUGAGACAUAUGCUCACCACAUCAAAGCGACGUGCAGAGAAAAUGUUCUGGAUGGCUCGCUUCAAGAUCAAGGUCACACUUGCGGUGCUGUUGUUGUAUUACUUGCUUAUUGCUGUUGUUAAGAAUACUAGAAAAAGAUCUAUGUAAAAGGGUGCAGAAUAUAAUAGUUUUAAGUAUUGUUUUUGGAAAAACAUGAAUUUAGUUAGUGUUAUACAUUAAAUUCUAAUUAUUGAAUAAAUUGUUUCGUGUGUUGAAAUGUUGUCGACGCACAUUUUGUAGAUUUUCUUUACACAUUCAAGCAACAAGGUCAUAACAACAGACGUGUCUCAGUUGGUAAUACAUUUUUUUAUCCCUUAAUGUACCGUACAGUUUGAAUAUUGAUAAAGCGAUUUUUGUAUUAUGAUAUUUAUAUUGUUUAUACGGAUAUGUUAAAAGCAAAAGUGACGUUUUAUUUGUAACUUGUACGUGUUAUGUUUCAUGUUUGUACAUUGCAAAAAAUGAUAAUAGUUUAGUUUUGGGUUUUAGGUUGUUAAUUUACUUAUUUUACAUAUAAUUGAUUUGCACACGGUUUCGAAGCAGAAUUUGAACUACUGUAUAUACAAAAGAAAUUUUGCUGAAAUAUCAUUGUAACUUGAAAAAAUGAUGUUACCUUUGAAAAUAGUUCUUGCAAUUAGUACAAUUUAUUCAUCUAUGUCGGAACAAUAUUUCAGAAAAAAAUGUAAUUUGGUUUGUACUUAAAUCAGAUCAUUGUAGAUAUUUCAACUUGUAGUAAUAUAUUAUAUAUAUAAAAGCAUUAUAUUUAAAAAAUCAGAUUCAGAACAGUUUUACAAAAAAAGCGAAAUAGGUUGGACAUAAUGUUUUCAACCACUUAUAAAAAUCAUAGCAAAAACAAAUACAAUAUAAGCAAUAUUUAUAUUUUUAUUUGAUAUAAAACCUUGUUAGAAAAACGAAAGUGUUGUAAGAUAUUGAAGAGGAUUGUGACAGUUUACACAAGGAUAAAGUAUAAAAAUAAGAACAACACUGGGUUGAAAUGUGGAUCAUCAAUGAUUUAUGCAACUAUCGUUCAAAACAUCUAGUUUUAUCUGAUAACAUUUAAUAUAGUUAAAAGCUCUUUAUUUUCUUCUUGUGAACGCUCAUUACUGUAGAAUAAUAAAUAGUCUCAGAGACUGAAAGUAUGAGUAUGCUGAGGCAGCCUAAACAGA